rnacentral:rRNA from 1 species
AUUGAACGCUGGCGGCAUGCCUUACACAUGCAAGUCGAACGGCAGCACGGGUGCUUGCACCUGGUGGCGAGUGGCGAACGGGUGAGUAAUACAUCGGAACAUGUCCUGUAGUGGGGGAUAGCCCGGCGAAAGCCGGAUUAAUACCGCAUACGAUCUACGGAUGAAAGCGGGGGACCUUCGGGCCUCGCGCUAUAGGGUUGGCCGAUGGCUGAUUAGCUAGUUGGUGGGGUAAAGGCCUACCAAGGCGACGAUCAGUAGCUGGUCUGAGAGGACGACCAGCCACACUGGAACUGAGACACGGCCCAGACUCCUACGGGGGGCAGCAGUGGGGAAUUUUGGACAAUGGGCGAAAGCCUGAUCCAGCAAUGCCGCGUGUGUGAAGAAGGCCUUCGGGUUGUAAAGCACUUUUGUCCGGAAAGAAAUCCUUGGCCCUAAUACGGUCGGGGGAUGACGGUACCGGAAGAAUAAGCACCGGCUAACUACGUG